AACGCCCAUCCGUUUCUCCCACAUCAGCUUCUCCUCUUCCUGUUUAGCCGCCGCCGCCUCCCCUUCCACCAUGGCCGCCGCCCCCUCCCCUUCCACCGUGGCCGCCGCCCCCUAUCGCCCGACGGCGAGCCCGCCCUCCCGUCCCCUUUCCUCUGGUCGCCCUCACGCACUGCAUCGCCUCCUGGUCGCCCUCUCUCUCUCCCUCCCUCCCUCUCUCUCUGUAUUCCCCCCUGCCCCCACCACCACGGCCAACUCCGGCGAGGUCCGUCGCCAUACAGCACAUCCACGAGCUCAUCUCGUGACGCUGCUCCUUCUCCACCGCGUUGACCCGACGCACCUCCCCUCUACGCGCGGCCCCGGCUAACCCUAGCGCCACGGUCGCCGGUCCACGGCGUCGCCAUCAACGCCGGCGCUGCGCCCGCACCUCCGGUUGGUCCUCCCCAACCCCGUCCGAACUUUCGCGCACUGCAUCGCCUCCUGGUCGCUGUCCAGGCGUCGCCAUCGACUGGAGGAGCGCGGGACCGUCGUCCUCGCGUUCGUGCACCUCCAGGAAGAAGACUGCUCGAGGUGAGACGCCUCGGAUCCGUCGUGCGAAGGUGGAGCUUGACAUAUAGGUUAGUGUAUGUGUGUGUGCAGCAGCUCCAGAGGGACGAACGUCAAGGUAGCCACUGCUCCGUAGCUGGUCUGGGAUAUGAGUACGGCCCUUGAUUCGUGCCGCCUGUUUUCUCUGCCGAAGUCGUGGUUGCGUGGAUGUGGCAAUGGUCGAAGGGUCGUCACCAGGGUGGCACCGGCGCCUCCCUUCCCUCUCCCCUAGAUCUGGAAGGUACCGUCUCGGGCUUCCCAGAUCUGUUGGAUCAAAAAUUGUGGGUGAUGGAAUCAAAAUUUGUUGGAUCAGAAAUUGCGGUUGAUGGAAUUAAAACUUGGAUGUGAUCAAAUUAGAGAGGACAUGGCGUACUGAUUACUGAAAGGAAUCUGUGAGUUCCUGCAAGAUGCAUCUCCAACAUUUCUUGUGCAGCUUUCUCCUGGAACCGUUGUUAUGAACCAAUCAACUCUUUGAGAAUUAAAGUUUGCCAACCUCGCCUGUUCGAACUUCGAACCCAAGAUGCCACUGCUUCUUCUAGGUCCCGCAGCUUGAUCCGCCAAGAGCAGGCUGGAGGAGGAAGCAGAGAGGGAGAUGGGAGAGGGAGAGGAGAUCUCGGCCUGCACACUGCACCUCGCAUCUCCCACAAGCUACAACAACAGGAGAACCGUAUACACAGCAUCCUUCUCAAAGCCUGCAGCUACUGCCUCCCCAAGCAAUGCCAACUUGCAGCAACAAGGCACCUGUUUCAUAUAAUUAUAGUUGCAACUAAUAAGGUCGUCAAUUUUACUGAGGUCCAUAAGAUAAUAAUAUCUCCAUUAAGAUGUGCAAUGAAACAUCGAAGAGGCUUACAUCCUUGUGAUUCCUCAUGACUCGGAAGGAGGAGCACGGGCCGUAGAGACGGAAGAGGAGGUUGAGACAGUCACGGCGCCUGCUGCAAUGACCACGGCCACUACAUGAAAAGAAAGGUACUAACUAAACUACAUCAUAUUCCUAGAAUGUAGUAGCAGGUGAAUUUCCUGCUUAGCACCCUGGAGUCAUGGACAGAUUUCAGGACUCCAGGCAAUAAUUUCAGUCCAAAUUGCAUUGCUUUUGGCAUAACUAAUUCCACUGCAUUUUGUUAUUGCUUGGACCAACUGCUAUGUACUGAACCUAUUUAUAUCUAUGUCAUCCUUCUGAUGUACUCCCUCUGUCCGAAAAUUCUUGUCUUAGAUUUGUCUAGAUACGGAUGUAUCUAAUACUAAAACGUGACUUGAUACAUUCGUAUUUAGACAAAUCUAAGACAAGAAUUUUGGGACGGAGGGAGUAGCUUGCUAUAUUAGAUUGGUCAUUUUCUACAAUCAUUCUAAUUUCCCUUUGCGCCGUUGGGUAUUUACAUACAUAUAUAAUCUACCUUGAUAUAGACCUAUGACAUUGUUAGGGUAAAAUGGUCAUUGCAUUUAGAUCCUUACAAAAAUAAAUUGUUGUAUGUCUGUCUCGGGUUUUUUAUAUUCAUUGGGAUGCUGGUGUUUUAAAGGCAUUAGGUUCCUGGUAUUUUAAGUGAGAAAAAUUGAUCACAUAUGUCAGCUAUUCAUAUUCAUCUGAACUGAUUAAUUUAUUUUGACUGCUGUUUCUUUCUACAGACAACAAAAUCUAUUAGGCCUACUUGUAAGUGCAUCUAGUGCCAUCCCUAGUUGGUUUUGGAGUAUUGACGACAAACCUAAUUGAGAGACUAAUGUGUUU